CAAUAGCGUAUAUUAAAGUGGUUGCAGUUAAAAAGCUCGUAGUUGGAUUUGUGGCGUACGGUGUGUUCCGGGCACUUGUUGUCUGAGUAACCUGCUGUUGCCAUCCUUGGGUGGAACCUGUGUGGCAUUAGGUUGUCGUGCAGGGGAUGCCCAUCAUUUACUGUGAAAAAAUUAGAGUGUUCAAAGCAGGCUUAUGCCGUUGAAUAUAUUAGCAUGGAAUAAUGAGAUAGGACUUUUUUGCUAUUUUGUUGGUUUGCGCAAAGAGGUAAUGAUUAAUAGGGACAGUUGGGGGUAUUCGUAUUCCAUUGUCAGAGGUGAAAUUCUUGGAUUUUUGGAAGACGAACUACUGCGAAAGCAUUUACCAAGGAUGUUUUCAUUAA
rnacentral:rRNA from 1 species